GACGAACGCUGGCGGCGUGCCUACUACAUGCAAGUCGAACGCAGUGGGGACGGGUGAGUAACCCGUGGGUAACCUCCCAUCAGAGGGGAUAACACUUGGAAACAGGUGCUAAACCGAUACUGAUGGAUGGCCCCGCGGUGCAUUAGCUAGUUGGUGAGGUAACGGCUCACCAAGGCCACGAUGCAUAGCCGAACUGAGAGGGUGAUCGGCCACAAUGGGACUGAGACACGGCCCAGACGCCUACGGGAGGCAGCAGUAGGGAAUCUGAGGCAAUGGAAGAAAGUCUGACCGAGCAACGACGCGUGAGGGAAGAAGGUUUUCGGAUCGUAAAACUUGGUUGUGAGAGAAGCGGUAUCUAACCAGAAAGCCACGGCUAACUACGUGCCAGCAGCCGCGGUAAUUC
rnacentral:rRNA from 1 species